UACGAAGGGGGCUAGCGUUGCUCGGAAUCACUGGGCGUAAAGCGCACGUAGGCGGCUUUCUAAGUCAGGGGUGAAAUCCUGGAGCUCAACUCCAGAACUGCCUUUGAUACUGGGAAGCUCGAGUCCGGAAGAGGCGAGUGGAACUCCUGGUGUAGCGGUGGAAUGCGCAGAUAUCAGGAAGAACACCAACGGCGAAGGCAGCUCGCUGGGACGGUACUGACGCUGAGACGCGAAAGCGUGGGGAGCGAACAGG
rnacentral:rRNA from 1 species